AUUGAACGCUGGCGGCAGGCCUAACACAUGCAAGUCGAGCGGAUGAAGGGAGCUUGCUCCUGGAUUCAGCGGCGGACGGGUGAGUAAUGCCUAGGAAUCUGCCUGGUAGUGGGGGAUAACGUCCGGAAACGGGCGCUAAUACCGCAUACGUCCUGAGGGAGAAAGUGGGGGAUCUUCGGACCUCACUCUAUCGGAUGAGCCUAGGUCGGAUUAGCUAGUUGGUGGGGUAAAGGCCUACCAAGGCGACGAUCCGUAACUGGUCUGAGAGGAUGAUCAGUCACACUGGAACUGAGACACGGUCCAGACUCCUACGGGAGGCAGCAGUGGGGAAUAUUGGACAAUGGGCGAAAGCCUGAUCCAGCCAUGCCGCGUGUGUGAAGAAGGUCUUCGGAUUGUAAAGCACUUUAAGUUGGGAGGAAGGGCAGUAAGUUAAUACCUUGCUGUUUUGACGUUACCAACAGAAUAAGCACCGGCUAACUUCGUG
rnacentral:rRNA from 1 species